UGUCAGUCGAGCGGAAAGGCCCUUCGGGGUACUCGAGCGGCGAACGGGUGAGUAACACGUGGGUAACCUGCCUUCAGCUCUGGGAUAAGCCUGGGAAACUGGGUCUAAUACCGGAUAUGACAUGCGGCCGCAUGGUUGUGUGUGGAAAGUUUUUCGGCUGGAGAUGGACUCGCGGCCUAUCAGCUUGUUGGUGGGGUAGUGGCCUACCAAGGCGAUGACGGGUAGCCGGCCUGAGAGGGCGACCGGCCACACUGGGACUGAGACACGGCCCAGACUCCUACGGGAGGCAGCAGUGGGGAAUAUUGCGCAAUGGGCGGAAGCCUGACGCAGCAACGCCGCGUGAGGGAUGACGGCCUUCGGGUUGUAAACCUCUUUCAGCGCUGACGAAGCCUUCGGGUGACGGUAGGCGCAGAAGAAGCACCGGCUAACUACGUGCCAGCAGCCGCGGUAAUACGUAGGGUGCGAGCGUUGUCCGGAAUUAUUGGGCGUAAAGGGCUCGUAGGCGGUUUGUCACGUCUGCUGUGAAAGCCCGGGGCUUAACCCCGGGUCUGCAGUGGAUACGGGCAGGCUAGAGUCCGGCAGGGGAGACUGGAAUUCCUGGUGUAGCGGUGGAAUGCGCAGAUAUCAGGAGGAACACCGGUGGCGAAGGCGGGUCUCUGGGCCGGUACUGACGCUGAGGAGCGAAAGCGUGGGGAGCGAACAGGAUUAGAUACCCUGGUAGUCCACGGCGUAAACGUUGGGCGCUAGGUGUGGGUUCCCUUCCACGGGAUCCGUGCCGUAGCUAACGCAUUAAGCGCCCCUGCUGGGGAGUACGGCCGCAACGCUUAAACUCCAAUGCA
rnacentral:rRNA from 1 species